rnacentral:rRNA from 1 species
CACGUAGGGAGCAAGCGUUGUCCGGAUUUAUUGGGCGUAAAGAGCUCGUAGGCGGCUCAGUAAGUCAGGUGUGAAACCUCCAGGCUCAACCUGGAGACGCCACCUGAUACUGCUGUGGCUAGAGUCCGGUAGGGGAGCGUGGAAUUCCUGGUGUAGCGGUGAAAUGCGCAGAUAUCUGGAGGAACACCGGUGGCGAAGGCGGCAUCCUGGACCAAUUCUGACGCUGAGUGAGCGAAAGCCAGGGGAGCAAACGGG